rnacentral:rRNA from 1 species
UGAACGCUGGCGGCAGGCCUAACACAUGCAAGUCGAGCGGUAGCACAGAGAGCUUGCUCUCGGGUGACGAGCGGCGGACGGGUGAGUAAUGUCUGGGAAACUGCCUGAUGGAGGGGGAUAACUACUGGAAACGGUAGCUAAUACCGCAUAACGUCGCAAGACCAAAGUGGGGGACCUUCGGGCCUCAUGCCAUCAGAUGUGCCCAGAUGGGAUUAGCUAGUAGGUGGGGUAACGGCUCACCUAGGCGACGAUCCCUAGCUGGUCUGAGAGGAUGACCAGCCACACUGGAACUGAGACACGGUCCAGACUCCUACGGGAGGCAGCAGUGGGGAAUAUUGCACAAUGGGCGCAAGCCUGAUGCAGCCAUGCCGCGUGUGUGAAGAAGGCCUUCGGGUUGUAAAGCACUUUCAGCGGGGAGGAAGGCGUUAAGGUUAAUAACCUUGGCGAUUGACGUUACCCGCAGAAGAAGCACCGGCUAACUCCGUGCCAGCAGCCGCGGUAAUACGGAGGGUGCAAGCGUUAAUCGGAAUUACUGGGCGUAAAGCGCACGCAGGCGGUCUGUCAAGUCGGAUGUGAAAUCCCCGGGCUCAACCUGGGAACUGCAUUCGAAACUGGCAGGCUAGAGUCUUGUAGAGGGGGGUAGAAUUCCAGGUGUAGCGGUGAAAUGCGUAGAGAUCUGGAGGAAUACCGGUGGCGAAGGCGGCCCCCCUGAACAAAGACUGACGUUCAGGGUGCGAAAAGCGUGGGGAAGCAAACAGGAUUAGAUACCCUGGUAGUCCACGCCGUAGACGAUGUCGAUUUGGGAGGUUGUGCCCUUGAGGCGUGGCUUCCGGAGCUAACGCGUUAAAUCGACCGCCUGGGGAGUACGGCCGCAAGGUUAAAACUCAAAUGAAUUGACGGGGGCCCGCACAAGCGGUGGAGCAUGUGGUUUAAUUCGAUGCAACGCGAAGAACCUUACCUGGUCUUGACAUCCACAGAACUUUCCAGAGAUGGAUUGGUGCCUUCGGGAACUGUGAGACAGGUGCUGCAUGGCUGUCGUCAGCUCGUGUUGUGAAAUGUUGGGUUAAGUCCCGCAACGAGCGCAACCCUUAUCCUUUGUUGCCAGCGGUUCGGCCGGGAACUCAAAGGAGACUGCCAGUGAUAAACUGGAGGAAGGUGGGGAUGACGUCAAGUCAUCAUGGCCCUUACGACCAGGGUUACACACGUGCUACAAUGGCAUAUACAAAGAGAAGCGACCUCGCGAGAGCAAGCGGACCUCAUAAAGUAUGUCGUAGUCCGGAUUGGAGUCUGCAACUCGACUCCAUGAAGUCGGAAUCGCUAGUAAUCGUAGAUCAGAAUGCUACGGUGAAUACGUUCCCGGGCCUUGUACACACCGCCCGUCACACCAUGGGAGUGGGUUGCAAAAGAAGUAGGUAGCUUAACCUUCGGGAGGGCGCUUACCACUUUGUGAUUCAUGACUGG